rnacentral:rRNA from 1 species
AGGGUUUGAUCNUGGCUCAGGACGAACGCUUGCGGCGUGCCUAAGAAAUGCAAGUCGAACGGACACCUUCGGGUGUUAGUGGCGAACGGUCGCGUAACACGUAAGAAACCUGCCUCGGAGUGGGGGACAACGGCCCGAAAGGGCCGCUAAUACCGCAUGCACACAACAUUCGGCAUCGUCUGUUGUGUAAAGCCUUGUGCGCUUCGAGAUGGUCUUGCGGCCUAUCAGGUAGAUGGUGGGGUAACGGCCUACCAUGCCGACGACGGGUAGCUGGUCUGAGAGGACGAUCAGCCGGAUUGGGACUGAGAUACGGCCCAGACUCCUACGGGGGGCAGCAAUUAGGAAUCUUGCGCAAUGGGCGAAAGCCUGACGCAGCGACGCCGCGUGAGGGACGACGGCCUUCGGGUUGUAAACCUCUUUUGCCGGGGAAGAAGAACGUGACGGUACCCGGCGAAUAAGCCCCGGCUAACUACGUGCCAGCAGCCGCGGUAAUACGUAGGGGGCGAGCGUUGUCCGAAGUUACUGGGCGUAAAGCGCGCGUAGGCGGCUUCUUAAGUCCGGGGUGAAAGGUCCAGCGCUCAACGCGGACAGUGCCUCGGAUACUGGGGGGCUUGAAUGUGGCAGANGAUAGUGGAAUGGCUGGUGUAGCGGUGAAAUGCGUAGAUAUCAGUCGGAACACCCAUGGCGAAGGCAGCUAUCUGGGCUAACAUUGACGCUGA